GGCCUGAUAGCACAACUGGUUAGUGCAUCUCCUAAUGCUUACAGCUCCCCCUGUUGACGGAGAAGAUCCCCGUUCGAUUCGGGGCCAGGCCA